AUUGAACGCUGGCGGCAGGCUUAACACAUGCAAGUCGAGCGGGGUGAUGGUGCUUGCACUAUCACUUAGCGGCGGACGGGUGAGUAAUGCUUAGGAAUCUGCCUAUUAGUGGGGGACAACAUCUCGAAAGGGAUGCCAAUACCGCAUACGUCCUACGGGAGAAAGCAGGGGAUCACUUGUGACCUUGCGCUAAUAGAUGAGCCUAAGUCGGAUUAGCUAGUUGGUGGGGUAAAGGCCUACCAAGGCGACGAUCUGUAGCGGGUCUGAGAGGAUGAUGCGCCAGACUGGGACUGAGACACGGCCCAGACUCCUACGGGAGGCAGCAGUGGGGAAUAUUGGACAAUGGGGGGAACCCUGAUCCAGCCAUGCCGCGUGUGUGAAGAAGGCCUAUGGUUGUAAAGCACUUUAAGCGAGGAGGAGGCUCUUUUGGUUAAUACCCAAGAUGAGUGGACGUUACUCGCAGAAUAAGCACCGGCUAACUCUGUGCCAGCCGCCGCAGUAA
rnacentral:rRNA from 1 species